UCUGAGUGUUGGUCCCUCACAUAGGAUUCCAGAACACUGCUUCUGGGUUCUGGUUUCUCCCUCACAUAGGAUUCCAGAACACUGCUGCUCGGUUCUGAGUGUUUGUCCCUCACAUAGCAUUCCAGAACACAGGUACGAAGUUCUGAAUGUUUGUAGCUCAAGUAGGAUUCCAGAACAAUGCUGCUGGGUUCUGAAUGUUUGACACUCACACAGGAUUCC
rnacentral:lncRNA from 1 species